GACGGCUCAUGCGUCAUUCCAGUGACACUGGAGGCUGCUCGCCAGGCCGACAUGUGGUCCCACACAUGGAUUUCAUCAUUCUGGAACCGACGUGCUGGGAACAAAAGAAAGAAGAAGAAGAAAGAAAGAGAGAUCUUUGGUGCUUGAACAUAGAAGAAGUGUGAGUUCUAAUCAAGCCAAUGGAGAGAAGCGAGUCCAGAAAGAAAACCUGCGCUUACCUGUACUGCAGUGUAUAAAAACGCACAUUUCUACACAUUCGCCAGGCCUCCAACUGCUGGAACCACUGGCAGGCUGGCAAGGGCCUCCGGGGCGGCGCAUACCGUGGGGCCAGAUGGCAAAGACCCCAACCCCAAAAAAUCCAGAGAGUUGAGAAAGUGAAAAAAAAAAAAGUUUUAAGCAAGAUCUCAAAAAUUCAGUACCCUACUCUUCUCAUUCUUAGCAAACGUUUUCAGCACUUACCUUCAGACACAAACAUAUUUAAAAACAAAACACGACAGUGACUUUGGGGGACUUUGAGUCAAGGCAUUUGAGUAUUACUGCAUCUUAUUUGGGGACCUUCUCCGCCUCUUUUUCGUCUCUGUUCAGUGCUCACCGGCCUGUUGCGACACCGAGUGGUGCUAUACUUGAAAUGGAGAAUUUCCUGUCUUGAAAGGCCCAUAAAAAUGCUCAAAUUUGAUACGAAAUGAUAGAUAUUUGGGUAUGGCUCUUCAUUUUGAACGAUCUGUGCGAUAAAAGCUCUCGUGUGUGUCUGCAUGCGUGUGUGUGUGUAUUUUCAUGUCCCCUUUGA